AUUAGUUUACCGGAGGUAGAGCACUGAAUGGUCUAGGGGGCCUCACCGCCUACCGAAACCUAUCAAACUGCGAAUGCCGGAUAAAUGAUGUGCGGGAGUCAGGCCGCGAGAGAUAAGUUCCGCGGUCAAAAGGGGAACACCCCAGAUCGUCUGCUAAGGUCCCCAAGUACGCGUUAAGUGGGAAAGGAUGUUGGAUUGCACAGACAACCAGGAUGUUGGCUUAGAAGCAGCCACACAUUCAAAGAGUGCGUAAUAGCUCACUGGUCGAGUGAUCCAGCGCCGAAAAUGUAACGGGGCUAAAACGCGACACCGAAGCAGCGGGAUGCGUAAGCAUCGGUAGAGGAGCAUUGUGUGAGGGUUGAAGCCAGAGCGGGAGCACUGGUGGACUUCACAGAAGAGAGAAUGCCGGUAUGAGUAGCGAGACCCAUGCGAGAAACAUGGGCGUCGAAGGCCCAAGGUUUCCUGGGGAAGGUUCAUCCACCCAGGGUAAGUCGGGACCUAAGCCGAGGACUGAGGUCGUAGGCGAUGGACAGCAGGUAGAGAUUCCUGCACCACUUACACUUGUUUGACGAAGCAGUGACACAGAAGGAUAGGACGAGCGCGGUGAUGGUCAACCGCGUAGGCGGCACGAGGCCGGGGAGCAGUUAAGUACACUUCCCAUGAAAGCUGAGUGCUGACAGGACCGAAAAAGAGUAGGGAAGCGUCUGAGUUCACGCUGGCGAGAAAAGCUGCUAAGGAGAGUGUGAGUGCCCGUACCGGAAACCGACGCAGGUGGGCGAGGAGAGAAUCCUGAGACGGACGGGAGAAGUCUUGUUAAGGAACUCGGCAAAAUGACCCCGUAACUUCGGGAGAAAGGGUGCCUCGAAAGAGGCCGCAGAGAAUAGUCACAAGCGACUGUUUAGCAAAAACACAGGUAUCUGCGAAAGCGAGAGCUGACGUAUAGGUGCUGACGCCUGCCCGGUGCUGGAAGGUUAAGGGGAAGUGUUAGGGGAAACCCGAAGCAGAGAACCGAAGCCCCAGUAAACGGCGGCCGUAACUAUAACGGUCCUAAGGUAGCGAAAUUCCUUGUCGGGUAAGUUCCGACCCGCACGAAUGGCGUAACGACUUGUGAGCUGUCUCAACAGGAGGCCCGGUGAAAUUGAAGUAUGUGUGAAGAUGCACAUUACCCGCGACUGGACGGAAAGACCCCGUAGAGCUUUACUGUAACCUGACAUUGGAUCUUGAUAACGGAUGCACAGGAUAGGUGGGACGCAGAGAGACGAGGACUUCGGUUUUCGUGGAGCGGCCGUUGGGAUACCACUCUUCUGUUAUUGAGAUUCUAACCUCAAGCCGUAAGCCGGAUGAGAGACAGUGUCAGGCGGACAGUUUGACUGGGGCGGUCGCCUCCGAAAGAGUAACGGAGGCGCCCAAAGGUACCCUCAGAAUGGAUGGAAACCAUUCGAAGAGAGCAAAGUCAGAAGGGUGCUUGACUGCGAGACCAACAAGUCGAGCAGGUACGAAAGUAGGGCUUAGUGAUCCGGCGGUAAGAGAGUGGAAUUGCCGUCGCUCAACGGAUAAAAGCUACC
rnacentral:rRNA from 1 species